rnacentral:lncRNA from 1 species
AAUGCCUUAGCCAAGGAGUGCAGCACCUGUCGCCCUUGCUAGCAGCUGUCCUCAGAGACGCUAGUUCUUUAGCCCAGGUAUAGUAGUUUCCAGUGGUCUUAUUGCCUGUUUCUUUCCCGAGUGUUCUUCUGGCUUCCCAGAGCCCUUUUGGGUUUUGAGAGUCAGACAAGAAACAAAACAAGGGAGUGAAUAAUCCUCAGGAAACAAUGGACCAUUGUGGCUUCCGAAUACUUUUUUCUCUUUUCUUUCCUUUCCUUUCCUUUUCUUUCUUUCUUUCUUUCUUUCUUUUUUUUUUAAAUUUGAAAAAGCAUAGAAAAAAAACAGGUCAGGGUUUAUUCUUUAUUGGAAGAUACUUGCCUGUGUUUAUGAAAGAUGUACAAAGAUAGAGAUGAGAUUUGGUUCAGGGAAAGCUGCAGAUGUCAUUACAAACUCCCAAGAUACAUUGUUCUUAAGACAAAUUUAGGAGCUAUCAGGCCGAAUUUGAGGAGGGUUUAGUCUUUAGAACAAUCAUGUAGUCUUGACAAAAAUAAAAAAUCUCCCUAAACUCCUACCCUUUAGCAUUUCAUUAGGAGAAACUGAUCUAUUAAAAUUAUAUGUAUGAUUAUGAAAAGUGAAUUCAAGUGAGAACAUUGGAGGAACCUGGAAAAAGCUCCACCCUGACUAAGAAGCAUGAUCUCAGUCGACCAAUAACUCGCCUUUUAUACACCUGUAAAUACAUGGAAUGUUUUUAAGGAUAUAAUUAUGUCAGAUUUAGCAUUUUCUUUUAUAUAUUAAAUAUAUAUCUUUAAUUUCUGCUUUUGAAAGUGAUUAUUUUUUUAGAAAUAACAGAAGUUUGGCAGUUGAAAGGCAAGACAUGUGAACCUGAAAUAAACCAAUUAUACUAAUUAAAGCAGAAUUUGGUGUUGGGAGGUUUGUGCCUGGUUGAAGAAUUCUUUAUGCCCUCAGACAUAUUUGAGAGAGGGUUCCAUUGAAGAGAUCUUUUCUGAAGCUUCUUGACUGGAAAGCUUUCGAUCUGUCAUUUGGGAAGACCUUUGGUAUUCUAGUCCUUGUAGCAUGUCUCAAUUGGAACUUCAAGAUUAUGUACAAUUUGAUGGCAAAUAUUUGCUGUUCCAUAGUGAGAAUAGUUUCAUAAUACCACUGUCUUUAUCUGCUGCCUUGGGGAACAACAGGACAGAAACACAAUCUUAUGUCUGGAGACAAUAGGUGUUCUUUUUAAAUUUGUGUGUAUAUAUUGGCUGUGUGUGCCUUGUUGUGUACAUGGAGCUUACAGGACAACUUUGUGGAGUUACUUCUACUUCUCUCCUACCAGGGAUCCAACUCACAUUGUCAAGCAAUCACAGCAAACACUUUAACUUACUUGAGCCAUCUUGACAGCUUCAUUGGUCUUCUUAAGACAAGAUGUUAAGGGGUUUCAUACUUAACAGAGUCUUCUUAUGGAAGUCUUUUAAACAUUGAACUGUCCUGACUUAAGGGAGUUGACAGAUCAAGUUUAGUUAGUUGUAUAAACUUCAUUAAAAGUGUUUACCUUAUAUACUUUUAUGAUAAAAGUUUUUUGUGCCCCCAGAAUUGUGGAUAAAAUUAAUAGUAGGCCUUUUUUACAGUUUUGAAAAUGUUUUGAACAGAAAAGACAGUAGACAUCUAUACAUCCAUUUACUUGUUUGUUUUUUGAGAUGGUCUCACUAUGCAACCUAUGGCCUGGGAUUCUGUGGAGACCAAACUGGCCUUGAACUCACCAAGAUCCACCUCCCUCUGCCUGCAGGGAUUGAAGGCAUAUGCCCAUCUUUAUAUUUUUUUUUAUAAAAUUCCAUACAUUUUUCCUGACUGUACCAGUUAUUUCUAGUGGAAUUGUGUGAUCAGUGCAUCUUGAAGACAAGUCUGCAAAGUAGCAAUGCCACUUGUCUCUAAUAGAAUUAAGCCAUGGACAGUGUAGGCAGCUUGUUUUCAGGAACUUAAAGGCUUAUAUCCUUAUUUCUUUUUCUUUUUUCUUUCUUUCUUUCUUUCUUUUUUUUUUUUUUUUUUUUGGUUUUUCGAGACAGGGUUUCUCUGUAUAUCCCUGGCUGUCCUGGAACUCACUCUGUAGACCAGGCUGGCCUCGAACUCAGAAGUCCGCCUGCCUCUGCCUCCCGAGUGCUGGGAUUAAAGGCGUGCGCCACCACGCCCGGCUUAGAUCCUUAUUUCAUGGAGAGUCACUGGUACUUAAAGGAUCAGAAUAAACUGUUUGCACAGAAUUGUUGCUUUUGAAGAAAGCACUUUUAAGGGUCCUUUAAUAACUUAAUGUAUCAUUGCUAAUUAAAAGUCCUUCCCUCCCAAGUGUGAUGACUGAAGUUGAAUUCUUAGAAACUAUGAAUGCCAGCUGUGUAAUCUCAGCACUGGAAAGGAGCAGACAGGGAGGAUUCUUGGUAUUCUCUGGCCAGCUAGUCUAGCCUAAUGGGUUAGCUCAGGCCAACAAGAGACCUGUCCCAACAACUUGGCGACAUUCAUUAGAAUUCGCUAGAAGUGGUCCUCUAGUCUCCAUACCCACAUACAAGUGCAGAUGCACCUGCAUGUACACAGAAAUUAACUCAUUUAUCAAUGACUUUAGUACAUAGAAAAUUAAAGCUCGGGUUGGUAAGAUGACUUGUAAAGGUGCUUGUCAACACUGAUGACCAAAGUUCAAUCCCCAGAAACCAUAUAGUAGGGAAAAAAAAAACUUGUACCAUGGUAAUAUGUGUACAACCCCCCCGCCGC